AUUGAACGCUGGCGGCAGGCCUAACACAUGCAAGUCGAACGAGUGGCGGACGGGUGAGUAAUGUCUGGGAAACUGCCUGAUGGAGGGGGAUAACUACUGGAAACGGUAGCUAAUACGGCCUACCAUCGGAUGUGCCCAGAUGGGAUUAGCUAGUAGGUGGGGUAAAGGCUCACCUAGGCGACGAUCCCUAGCUGGUCUGAGAGGAUGACCAGCCACACUGGAACUGAGACACGGCCCAGACUCCUACGGCACGCAGCAGUGGGGACUAUUGUACAAUCGCCGCAACCCUGCUGCACCCACGCCGCGUGUAUGAAGUAGGCCUUAGGGUUGUAAAGCACUUUCAGCGGGGAUGCGUUACCCACAGAAUAAGCACCGACUAACUCCGUGCCAGCCGCCGCGGUCAUUC
rnacentral:rRNA from 1 species